UACGUAGGUGGCGAGCGUUGUCCGGAUUUACUGGGCGUAAAGGGAGCGUAGGCGGACUUUUAAGUGAGAUGUGAUAUACUCGGGCUCAACUUGAGUGCUGCAUUUCAAACUGGAAGUCUAGAGUGCAGGAGAGGAGAAUGGAAUUCCUAGUGUAGCGGUGAAAUGCGUAGAGAUUAGGAAGAACACCAGUGGCGAAGGCGAUUCUCUGGACUGUAACUGACGCUGAGGCUCGAAAGCGUGGGGAGCAAACAGG
rnacentral:rRNA from 1 species